GACGAACGCUGGCGGCGUGCUUAACACAUGCAAGUCGAACGGAAAGGCCCUUUUGGGGGUACACGAGUGGCGAACGGGGGAGUAACACGUGAGUAACCUGCCCUGGACUUCGGGAUAACGGUAGGAAACUGGGGCUAAUACCGGAUAUGAACCCUUGCUGCAUGGUGGGGGUUGGAAAGCUCCGGCGGUUUUGGAUGGACUCGCGGCUUAUCAGCUUGUUGGUGGGGUAGUGGCUUACCAAGGCGGCGACGGGUAGCCGGCCUGAGAGGGUGACCGGCCACAUUGGGACUGAGAUACGGCCCAGACUCCUACGGGAGGCAGCAGUGGGGAAUAUUGCACAAUGGGCGCAAGCCUGAUGCAGCAACGCCGCGUGCGGGAUGACGGCCUUCGGGUUGUAAACCGCUUUCAGCAGGGACGAAGCUUGUUGUGACGGUACCUGCAGAAGAAGCACCGGCUAACUACGUG
rnacentral:rRNA from 1 species